rnacentral:rRNA from 1 species
UACGAAGGGUGCAAGCGUUAUUCGGAAUCAUUGGGCGUAAAGGGUGCGUAGACGGUAUAUUAAGUCUGUUGUUAAAUCUUCUGGCCUAACCAGAAAUCCGCAGCGGGUACUGAUGUACUAGAGGGUGGAAGAGAGAAGUGGAAUUCUCGGAGUAGCGGUAAAAUGCGUAGAUCUCGAGAGGAACACCAAUGGCGAAGGCAGCUUCUUGGUCCAUACCUGACGUUGAGGCACGAAAGCGUGGGGAGCAAACAGG